ACUCUUGGUAGCCAAGUUGGUUUAAGGCGCAAGACUGUAAAUCUUGAGAUCGGGCGUUCGACUCGCCCCCGGGAGA
rnacentral:tRNA from 1 species